AAAGGAAUCGCAUGAAGACAGUACAAGUGGAGGCUUCAAUCUCUUCUCCGUCUCUCUGACGUUUGAGAAUUCUAUCGGAGCAGUCGGAGGAAUAACUGGAGGAAUCUCAUGGAACCGCCAGAGAUGCUGCUAUCGUUGGCUGAAGACACGUGAGUCUACUUAGAGAUGACUAGGUGAACUGCGUUAAGGAAUAUUGUGCUAAAGGACAUCGAGACACAACGCUCUGAUAGGAUGUGACAUUGGGGUAUAGGGUUUUAUAUUAAUUCUAUGAAGUCUCAGACGACCUUGUUUGAGCCGAUGACUUUAUUAUUUAUUUGGACAAGUUUAAAAAUGAUGUAGAAGGAAAUGAUUGUGAACCUUUUAUCCCUUUGAAAGGCUUGUAUUUAAAAAUGCUUUAAAAAAAUGCUUUUAAUUAAUAUUUGAAUUUUCA